rnacentral:rRNA from 1 species
GCAUAUCAAUAAGCGGAGGAAAAGAAACCAACAGGGAUUGCCCCAGUAACUGCGAGUGAAGCGGCAAAAGCUCAGAUUUGAAAUCUGGCGCCUCCGGCGUCCGAGUUGUAAUCUGUAGAGGUAUCUUCGGUGGGAGCUCCGGUCUAAGUCCCCUGGAACGGGGCGUCACAGAGGGUGAGAAUCCCGUUUGUGGCUGGAUGUCUCCCACCAUGUGAAGUGCCUUCGACGAGUCGAGUUGUUUGGGAAUGCAGCUCAAAGUGGGUGGUAAAUUUCAUCUAAAGCUAAAUACAGGCGAGAGACCGAUAGCGCACAAGUAGAGUGAUCGAAAGAUGAAAAGCACUUUGAAAAGAGAGUCAAAAAGUACGUGAAAUUGUUGAAAGGGAAGCGCUUGAGACCAGACUCGGCUGGGGGUGAUCAGCGGUGCUUCUGUGCCGUGCACUUGCCCCUGUGCCGGGCCAGCAUCGGUUGCGGUGGUGGGAUAAAGGCCGUGGGAAUGUGGCUCCUUUCGGGGAGUGUUAUAGCCCACGGUGCAAUGCCACCUACUGCGACCGAGGACCGCGCAGCAAUGCUAGGAUGCUGGCAUAAUGGUCUUCAGCGACCCGUCUUGAAACACGGACCAAGGAGUCUAACAUCUAUGCGAGUGUUCGGGUGGAAAACCCUUGCGCGUAAUGAAAGUGAACGGAGGUGGGAACCCUUCGGGGCGCACCAUCGACCGAUCCAGAUGUCUUCGGAUGGAUUUGAGUAGGAGCAUAGCUGUUGGGACCCGAAAGAUGGUGAACUAUGCCCGCAUAGGGUGAAGCCAGAGGAAACUCUGGUGGAGGCUCGCAGCGGUUCUGACGUGCAAAUCGAUCGUCAAAUGUGGGUAUAGGGGCGAAAGACUAAUCGAAUCAUCUAGUAGCUGGUCUGCGA